CAAACGACUCUCGGCAACGGAUAUCUCGGCUCUCACAUUGAUGAAGAAAGUAGCGAAAUGCGAUACUUGGUGUGAAUUGCAGAAUCUCGUGAACCAUCGAGUCUUUGAACGCAAGUUGCGCCCGAAGCCAUUAGGCCGAGGGUACGUCUGCCUAGGCGUCACGC
rnacentral:rRNA from 1 species